UGAGAGGGGGUCCGUUUCUGUCUUUGGUUAUCUAGCUGUAUGAGUGUUAAAUACCUGUCAUAAAGCUAGAUAACCGAAAGUAGGAAUGACUCCCAUAACCUAUAAAUCUCUCAGGCUUCGAACGCACCGUGGCGGAUUUUGACCCUCAGAAGGCUCCUGAUGAUCGUUGAGAGAUGUGGGAUUCCUGAAAAGAGCCACUAUUAACAGAUAACAAGGAGAGAGAGGGGGGGGAAGAAAAAAAAAAACGGUUGGUCCGGAAUCGCCUCCCCCAACCCCCACCUCCCCCUUCCUCCUCCUCCUCCUCCUCCCACCCUCACCCUUUUUCACCCACGAGCCUCUGAUGCCAUCUGUACUGCCAAUGGAGACGCUCUGCCUGUGCCAGGAGGCGGACAAAGACCCCGCCGGUUCCCUGGAGUACGGGCGCGCUCACAGGAGCCAUCUUGGGAGAUGUUUGCCGCGACACCUAAAAUGGCUGGGCUGGCAUACGAGGAUGAAAGAGAAACUAUGAACAUCUCUGCCACCUCUCUGUAGGACUUCAUGGACCAAAGUCUGCA